UCCCUGAUGGUCAAGUGGUUAAGAUGCGGAGCUUUUACCGCCCGUGGCCUGGGUUUGAUUCCCAGUCAGGGAA